UGAACAGUUUAUAGUUAUUGUUGUCGUUAGACCCACUUCAACAGUUGGUGGGUUCACAGAGAGGUGGAGCAAGGCGUCUGUGAAAGCAAUGACAUUUAUCAUUAAUGUUUUCAGACGUGAAGAUUAUUACGUUCUAGUCCAGACUAGCUGCAGGAUGUUUGUGACGUCAGUCCUAAGAGCGUCACACACGAUCAAGGAGACAAACAAUGAACAAAACCUGCACACAAAAUCUACAAUGAAAGCUUGAGAUAAAGACUUGACGAUUCAGUCAGAGGCUAUAGAACUUGCCAAAGAGAAGUGCUUGUCCAACUUAUUUCAGGACUAUCUAAUCAAACAUCAGUGGAAAUGUCCUAAAGGCGACACUCACUGCACUGUUGAUAGGUGCACUUCCGGCCUCUUGAAACAAGAGAAGUUAUCCAAGAUGAAAAAGAUAUUUUAAA